rnacentral:rRNA from 1 species
ACGAACGCUGGCGGCGUGCCUAAUACAUGCAAGUUGAGCGCUGAAGGUUGGUACUUGUACCAACUGGAUGAGCAGCGAACGGGUGAGUAACGCGUGGGGAAUCUGCCUUUGAGCGGGGGACAACAUUUGGAAACGAAUGCUAAUACCGCAUAAAAACUUUAAACACAAGUUUUAAGUUUGAAAGAUGCAAUUGCAUCACUCAAAGAUGAUCCCGCGUUGUAUUAGCUAGUUGGUGAGGUAAAGGCUCACCAAGGCGAUGAUACAUAGCCGACCUGAGAGGGUGAUCGGCCACAUUGGGACUGAGACACGGCCCAAACUCCUACGGGAGGCAGCAGUAGGGAAUCUUCGGCAAUGGACGAAAGUCUGACCGAGCAACGCCGCGUGAGUGAAGAAGGGUGUCGGAUCGUAAAACUCUGUUGGUAGAGAAGAACGUUGGUGAGAGUGGAAAGCUCAUCAAGUGACGGUAACUACCCAGAAAGGGACGGCUAACUACGUG